CACGGUAGGGCGCAAGCGUUGUCCGGAAUUAUUGGGCGUAAAGAGCUCGUAGGCGGUCUGUUGCGUCUGCUGUGAAACUCGGGGCUUAACCCCGAGCCUGCAGUGGAUACGGGCAGACUAGAGGUAGGUAGGGGAGAAUGGAAUUCCCGGUGUAGCGGUGAAAUGCGCAGAUAUCGGGAGGAACACCGGUGGCGAAGGCGGUUCUCUGGGCCUUACCUGACGCUGAGGAGCGAAAGCGUGGGGAGCGAACAGG
rnacentral:rRNA from 1 species